rnacentral:miRNA from 1 species
UAACCCAACUGAAAAUAGCUGGA